GUUUGAUCCUGGCUCAGGACGAACGCUGGCGGCGUGCCUAAUACAUGCAAGUCGAGCGGACAGAUGGGAGCUUGCUCCCUGAUGUUAGCGGCGGACGGGUGAGUAACACGUGGGUAACCUGCCUGUAAGACUGGGAUAACUCCGGGAAACCGGGGCUAAUACCGGAUGGUUGUUUGAACCGCAUGGUUCAAACAUAAAAGGUGGCUUCGGCUACCACUUACAGAUGGACCCGCGGCGCAUUAGCUAGUUGGUGAGGUAACGGCUCACCAAGGCGACUAUGCGUUGCCGACCUGAGAGGGUGAU
rnacentral:rRNA from 1 species